UACGGGGGGAGCAAGCGUUGUUCGGAUUUACUGGGCGUAAAGGGCGCGUAGGCGGCCACUGCAAGUCAGUUGUGAAAUCUCCGGGCUUAACCCGGAAAGGUCAACUGAUACUGCAGGGCUAGAGUGCAGAAGGGGCAACUGGAAUUCUCGGUGUAGCGGUGAAAUGCGUAGAUAUCGAGAGGAACACCUGCGGCGAAGGCGGGUUGCUGGACUGACACUGACGCUGAGGCGCGAAAGCCAGGGGAGCGAACGGG
rnacentral:rRNA from 1 species